rnacentral:rRNA from 1 species
CAGCUAGUUGGUGGGGUAAAGGCCUACCAAGGCGACGAUCUGUAGCUGGUCUGAGAGGACGACCAGCCACACUGGGACUGAGACACGGCCCAGACUCCUACGGGAGGCAGCAGUGGGGAAUUUUGGACAAUGGGGGAAACCCUGAUCCAGCAAUGCCGCGUGUGUGAAGAAGGCCUUCGGGUUGUAAAGCACUUUUGUCCGGAAAGAAAACUUCUGCCCUAAUACGGCGGGAGGAUGACGGUACCGGAAGAAUAAGCACCGGCUAACUACGUGCCAGCAGCCGCGGUAAUACGUAGGGUGCGAGCGUUAAUCGGAAUUACUGGGCGUAAAGCGUGCGCAGGCGGUUCGUUAAGACAGAUGUGAAAUCCCCGAGCUUAACCUGGGAACUGCAUUUGUGACUGGCGAGCUAGAGUAUGGCAGACGGGGGUAGAAUUCCCCG